CUGGAGCUGCCACAUGAAUUUUGGGUUCAUAAGGAUUCCCUCUGCUGUGGGGACCUCACCAUAACUUCUUAACUCCUCAAGAGGGGCUGCUCCGUGGGAAUGGUUUAGCUACAACAUAACAUUUUACCUUACUCAGUGAGGAUGGCAGAAACCCAAAAUGACCACCUUCUGCUCUUCUCUUAGUUUCAAAAUUUGGUCAUUUCAGUGGCACAUUCAGAAAGGCAGGAUAUGGGAAUGAGUCUCUCUUUGCCCAUCUCCCUGUCGUCCUCCAAUUUGAUUUAUACUUCAGCAACGUUUAAGGUUAGGUCUUUUGAUAUACUGUUGUAUUAGAUAAAUUAGAUAAGAAAAGACUGUUUUUUUCACUUCAGCUUGUUGGGAAUGGAGACUUUGCUGCAAUUACUUGAUGACCUGACUGAGAAGCAUUCACAGGAGAGAAUGAGACAAAGGAAUCCACUUUCACAGAGAAAUAGUUCCUCUCCCUGUGGACAUAAUCUCCCUCUCCUUUUAGCAUCGGACCAUUUCAACUGUAGAAAGAGACUUUUCCUGCAAACAGUAAAAUGAGAAGAACAAAAGAAAACAAAAGGAUCAAAAAUUUAGAGGGCGACAGCUACGGCCGGCGGAGGAGACCUGUCUGAUCCCUGACCAACACCACGCCCGGGCUCCAGCUGCAUUCCAGGCCUGUGGAUUCAGUCCCCCCGAUGGAAUAAGAAUUUCUCCAGACAGAUCCCCACACAACAGGUCUAAACCUUGACUCUCUUCUUCUUCUGCUGGCUUGGUUUUUAACUGGGAAUGCUAUUUAUGCACCUGAAAUACAUAAGGUUUAUGAUUGCGUUAGUCUGAGUCAGAGGAGCAAUGGGAACACUUGGAAGAACACACUCCCUGCACUCUAGGGCAGGUUGCCAGGUGGAAAUUCUGAAUUAUCUUCAUUUUGGCUUGAAUUAUGGCCAAAAACAGGUGAACACCAUUACACAAGCUACAGACAACUCCUAAGGAAUGUCUGAAAUCCCUUGUAAUUUAGCUUUUAAACUGUGAGAAUGAGAACAACUAUCAAUUAUGAAGACCAUAGAGCAGUAUUAGACUGUUGUUUUUACACAUAAGCGUUACCAGUUGAUUUCCAAGAUAUUUUUUUUUUAAAAAAGCUUGUUGUUGAAU
rnacentral:lncRNA from 1 species